UCAAGAAAUUUCCAUUUGAUGCAAAGUUGAAAAUGGCUGAAGUGGGACCCUGGUGGGGGACCCACCAGCAUCUGGUGCCUCCGUAGGCUCCCGCCGGCCCUUGUCUUGGGGGAGCAAGGAGCAUACACCCUGGCCCCAUCCACGUGGGAACUGGCCGUGACUUGCUCAGGCUAACGGGGUGUGCGGAGGUGUGACCCAAGUGGGGAUGAACUCCAGUUCCUUGAUGGAGCUCUCCGCUGGUGUUUCUGCUACGACCGCAGGAGGAAAGGGUCCCGAGUACACGGCUGGCCCUGGAAGCAAGAGGCACGUGGGUCCGAGCUGCCCCUGGGUGUCUGCACAUCUCUGAGCCUGACCGUAAAUGCUUGCUGCUAACGAGAGAGCAGGAGAGCACAAGCAGGGGGAGC